ACUCAAAUGAAUAGACGGGGACCCGCACAAGCGGUGGAGCAUGUGGUUUAAUUCGACGGUAAACGGAAAACCUCACCAAGGCUUGACAUCUAGCUGCAAGACCUGGAAACAGGUCCGCCUUCGAGGGAGCUAGACAGAUGCUGCAUGGUUGUCGUCAGCUCGUGUCGUGAGAUGUACCGUUAAGUCGGGAAACGAGCGCAACCCUGAUCCUAUGUUUUACAUGUCAUGGGAGACUGCCCGUUUUAAAUGGGAGGAAGGUGGGAUGACGUCAAAUCAGCAUGGUUCUUACGCCUUGGGCAACACACGUGCUACAAUGGAAGGUACAGAGGGACGCCAAACCGCAAGGUGGAGCAAAUCUCUUAAAACCUUUCUCAGUUCGGAUUGGGGGCUGAAAUUCGCCCCCAUGAAGUUGGAAUCGCUAGUAAUCGUGGAUCAGAAUGCCACGGUGAAUACGUUCUCGGGUCUUGUACACACCGCCCGU
rnacentral:rRNA from 1 species